AUUGAACGCUGGCGGCAGGCCUAACACAUGCAAGUCGAGCGAGCGGCGGACUGGUGAGUAAUGUCUGGGAACCUGCCUGAUGGGGGGGGAUAACUGAUGGAAACGGUAGCUACUACUGCAUACCAUCAGAUGUGCCCAGAUGGGAUUAGCUAGUGGGUGGGGUAACGGCUCACCUAGGCGACGAUCCCUAGCUGGUCUGAGAGGAUGACCAGCCACACUGGAACUGAGACACGGCCCAGACUCCUACGGGAGGCAGCAGUGGGGAAUAUUGCACAAUGGGGGCAAGCCUGAUGCAGCCAUGCCGCGUGUGUGAAGAAGGCCUUCGGGUUGUAAAGCACUUUCAGCGGGAAAGCGGUACCCGCAGAAGAAGCACCGGCUAACUCCGUGCCAGCAGCCGCGGUAAUUC
rnacentral:rRNA from 1 species